rnacentral:rRNA from 1 species
AUUGAACGCUGGCGGCAUGCCUUACACAUGCAAGUCGAACGGCAGCACGGGAGCAAUCCUGGUGGCGAGUGGCGAACGGGUGAGUAAUAUAUCGGAACGUGCCCAGUCGUGGGGGAUAACGUAGCGAAAGCUACGCUAAUACCGCAUACGAUCUAUGGACUAAAGCGGGGGAGCGCAAGACAUCGCGCGAUUGGAGCGGCCGAUAUCAGAUUAAGUAGUUGGUGAGGUAAAGGCUCACCAAGCCGACGAUCUGUAGCUGGUCUGAGAGGACGACCAGCCACACUGGGACUGAGACACGGCCCAGACUCCUACGGGAGGCAGCAGUGGGGAAUUUUGGACAAUGGGCGCAAGCCUGAUCCAGCAAUGCCGCGUGCAGGAUGAAGGCCUUCGGGUUGUAAACUGCUUUUGUACGGAACGAAACGGCGAGCUCUAAUACAGUUUGCUAAUGACGGUACCGUAAGAAUAAGCACCGGCUAACUACGUGCCAGCCGCCGCCGUAA